GGAGAGGAAAAAUGGGUAAAGAGUUUUGUCUCAUGUGUAUACGAAUGAUUGGGAAAAAAAUUAUUAAAAGAGAAGGAAUGAUGUGAAAAGAGAAAACCUAUAUAACAAGUAAACGAAGAAGAAGAAGAAAAGAAAUUAAAGUGAAAGCUACAAAGAGGAUCAGAACCUGAGUCCACACUAGAUCCCCUUCACCGCGGCGCACAUAACAAAAAUCUCUCACGAAAUCAUCAGGUGUUGCCGAUCUCACCUACACCCUCCACGUCAAUAAGCCAUGUGAUUGGACAGAUGGAUGAAGGGUGGUGGUUUCUAUGAUGAUGAUCAAUCAGAUGGGAAAGCCUUCUCAUUCGUGGGGGCCCCAUUUGACAUGACUAGACUAUUUUCAUCAACCAAUCUCCACCCUUGGAUCUUCAUUUUAAUCUUAUUCUUUUCUUUUCUUUUCUUUCUUUUUUUUACAAUGAGAGACAUAAAGUUUAGUUAGAUGGUCAAUAUCAAAGAUGUACUACCAAGUUUGUUUUUCCAGCUACUCAUUCAACAUUAUCAUACAUCAAAUAUAUAUAUAUAUACAUAGCUUCUAUACUCUAUUCUCA